rnacentral:rRNA from 1 species
GACGUAGGGGGCCAGCGUUGUUCGGAAUUACUGGGUGUAAAGGGUUCGUAGGCGGUGCGGCAAGUCGGGCGUGAAAUCUCUGGGCUCAACCCAGAGGCUGCUUCCGAAACUGCUGUGCUUGAGUGUGGGAGAGGCGCGUGGAAUUGCAGGUGUAGCGGUGAAAUGCGUAGAUAUCUGGAGGAACACCGGUGGCGAAGGCGGCAUCCUGGACCAACACUGACGCUGAGGAGCGAAAGCCAGGGGAGCAAACGGG